CAGGCUAGGAGAAGUGAUUGGAU
rnacentral:miRNA from 1 species